ensembl:lncRNA
AUGCAGGCGCGCAGAGAGGAAGCUCGCGGAGCUGCAGCCCGCAUGGAGCUGAAGAACAAGAAGGAGCGUCCCAGGAUGAGCUACGUCCAGACGCUCCUACGCAGCGUCCAGCUGAGGAAGACUCCAACGCUGGAAGAGCUACUUCAGGAGUCUGACGUUCCGACCAAAUGCUCUCCUCCUCCUUUUCCUCCCCCUCGGAGCAGCUCCUCAGAGUCCCGCAGUGAGGCUUCUGUUAGGACCGAGCAUGGUCUUUCCCCAGCAUCUGCAGAGAAGUUAGAAAGCAGUUCUCCUUCUCCACUGUCUCCCAUCAGUGCCUCUCUCACUCCUGAAAAGCAAAUCUGCCGUGAAGGGGGCGUCAGUGGCCGAGUGGAAAGCCCCAACCCACCAGAGCUGCAGUCCUGCUGUGGCGGACAGUUGUCUUCUUCAGGUUACUUGAGCCACAAGAGCGUAGAAAUUUCUGUUUCCAGCGUGAUGGACCAUCAAAUCUGCACCUUCAACUCUUCUGGAGAAGCUUGUGGCGUGGGAGGCUUUUUCCUUCACAGCACCUCAAAUACAAUAGCAGCUCGUCCAGAUAUUAUUAGCCACCCUCCUGUGGAUGGGGAGGAACUAGAGAGGAGCGGACUGGAGUGUUCCGUUUGUGGAGCCGCCUCUCUCUACGAUCAUCUGCUAUCGGAGGAGUCUGGAAGUGUGGAGCAAACGGAUGAUGGUUCCUUCCCUGCGGUGCUUCAGUCUACGGAUGGAGACGUAGAUGAGGGGCCGGUGGCUGCUGGAGGAAACCCGGCCGAAACUGAACCAGGAGACGACCUGUUCCACUCGGAAAGGCUGUGUGAGGAGAAGCCUCAUCCCCGGAGCCUCAAGGCCUUGCUGAAGAAAUCUCAGGAGUACCGGCGGCAACAGCGGAUGCUGAGGAACCAGUCCAGAAACGCCAACAUCCAGGAGCUGCUGAGAACGCUAGCAGAGGAACAGAGCCUCUCCGAUAAGGAGAACGAUGAGCAUCUCUGUAGGAGCAAGAGGGCUGCAGACGGAAACAGAACCAAAGAGCGGGGAGGGGCCCCAUCAGUGGGAACGUCACAGAGACCCAGGGAGAACUAUGAGAUAACUGGGAGUGAAAUCGCUGGGAACAACACCAGCACGGACACCCAGAGCUCUCCUGUAACAGGAAGUGGAGACACCUCAGAGCUUCAGCUGGUUUCAAAAACAAUCCUGAGAAAUAAGCUGAACACUUUUCAGGAGUUGAUCAUCCCAGCUGACACCUCCCCACCUCAAGACUGCCUUUCCGGGGGCGCAGCCUUCUCUAAAGGAGCAGCUCAGUUCUGCACUGUCCCAGCGCCCAGCUUCUGCUGGAGUCCCAGUCGAUUCAAAGACAGCUGCAUCAAACAUCUGCAACCCGCUGAAGGAGCCGAGACCUCCGAGGAGAAGCGAGGAGUUCAAUUUACCACGACUUCUGCAGGUGAGGAGGAGGAGGAGGAGGAGGUGAGCGGCGUGUCAGCACAAAGUUCACGGCACCUGGAGCACCUGGAGACCAGCCUGACCGGCCUGAAGAGCCUGAUCUCAUGUCUGGAGUCUGCAGUGAAGGAAAGUCCGGAACAAACUGAGAGCAGCUGGAGGAACCGGACGGGUCAGAACCACUGCUCGGGGGGCGAUGAAGAGAAGGGGUGCAUCAGCGAUGUGGAGGGCGCUGCGCUCACAGUCCAGGAGGCAGGAGGCCCCAUAAGGCGGGCCUCAGUGGGGGGCAGUUACACCCAACGCAGAGACGGCCGGCAGCAGCCGCCCCCUCCCAAAUGCGUCUUAUCAGCAGCACCGCAGACACGGAUCCCUUGUUUAUUCCGAAACCCCCUGCAUGGGAACGCAGCUCCAGGGGGGGUCUCUGUGCUUUCAGGGACAAGUUGCCGUCCGGCUGCAGGAGGAGGGCGCCCCCCCACAGAAUACCCGCCUCUCAAUCAGUCGUUUGACGUGGAAAAACCAUCCGGACUCUGGCUCCUGGAAGGAUCCGGAACCCACCAGGAUUCACAGUGUAGUGUCGGUCAGGGGGCACAUCUGACCCCAGAGAGCGGGGGCGAGGAGCAGGCGGGGACGUCUAGGGUCAAACGGCGACUGGUGAUGCACGUGACUGAGCAGUCUCCAGAGAGGAGGACGGGGUGGGCGGGGCCUGUUGUUAGGCCCACCUCCAGCACCCCCACAGCUGCGGCCGGCUGGUUUGAGGACAAGGGCGCCGACCAGCAGGAGCAGCUGAAGGAGGUCCACGCCGCCCGGCUCAGAGCCCUGCAGGAGGUGCACCGGCAGCAGCAGGAGCGACUCCUGCAGGUGAGGCGAGGCGUGACGUUGCUCUUGAUGCACGACAGACAGGAAACCCUGCUGCGUCCACGGGUGUCCACGCCCCACGCAGACGAAGCUGUCUCAGACAGGUGUUCUCAGCAUGUGAGAUGUCAGAGACUCGGCCGCCCACUCUGCCUCAUGUCCACCUGA